rnacentral:lncRNA from 1 species
GCUCCAGCUGUUCGAAGGUGAUCCAGACGCAAGAUGGCUGUCCUCUCUAAGGAAUAUGGUUUUGUGCUUCUAACUGGUGCUGCCAGCUUUAUAAUGGUGGCCCACCUAGCCAUCAAUGUUUCCAAGGCCCGCAAGAAGUACAAAGUGGAGUAUCCUAUCAUGUACAGCACGGACCCUGAAAAUGGGCACAUCUUCAACUGCAUUCAGCGAGCCCACCAGAACACGUGAGUUGUAUCCUCCCUUCUUAUUUUUUCUAGCUGUUGGAGGUGUUUACCACCCGCGUAUAGCUUCUGGCCUGGGCUUGGCCUGGAUUGUUGGACGAGUUCUUUAUGCUUAUGGCUAUUACACGGGAGAACCCAGCAAGCGUAGUCGAGGAGCCCUGGGGUCCAUCGCCCUCCUGGGCUUGGUGGGCACAACUGUGUGCUCUGCUUUCCAGCAUCUUGGUUGGGUUAAAAGUGGCUUGGGCAGUGGACCCAAAUGCUGCCAUUAAAGAAUUAUAGGGGUUUAAAAACUCUCAUUCAUUUUAAAUGACUUACCUUUAUUUCCAGUUACAUUUUUUUUCUAAAUAUAAUAAAAACUUACCUGGCAUCAGCCUCAUAC